rnacentral:lncRNA from 1 species
CUGCAGUGAGUGCGCAUGCGCCUCUCAGCUGGGAGACCGUGGGCGGAGGUGAUACAACCUGACUGAUGAUGGCUGACAAAAGAAGAAGAAAGUAGCUGAGAACCAGCAGCUGAAGAAAGCAAGAAAAUAUGAGUGAAGUCACAAAUGUCACCAAGGAAAGGAAGAACAGAAAAAUAACUUGAAUAUUCAAGAUGGGCAGCCUAGUUCAACGACACAUCAAGCCUUGUGAAAAGGUGACUCCGAGACAUGGAGGCACAUGCCUGUAGCCUCACCACACAGGCAGGUGGUGGUGAAUUCUACACUAACCUUGGCUACACAGUGACACACUGCCCCAAAACAGAAACAAAAAGCAAAAAGUUUCUCAGUGAACCUCAGAAAAGGUUCCUAAGAUUCAGAUGCUGCCCAAGCCAACCCGAGUUUACCAGGUUCCAGGAAUGACCUUGAAUUCCAGAUCCUUCUGCCCCCAUCAUCUGAGUGCUGGGUUACGGUUGGGUGGCUAUACCUGCCUCUCACCUGGGUCUUUGAAACAAAAGAGGGAAGAAAGAAAGAAGGAAAGAAAGAAAGAA